rnacentral:misc_RNA from 1 species
GAACCUGAUAUGUUGGCAUUCUCUGGCUGCUACUAUGGUGGGGGCGACAAGGAAAGAUAUGAACUGGGUGAGAUAAGAAAACGAUGGGCUACUUUACCUGAGUUGAGCCCUGAUGAAGAACGAGCACGAGGGAAAUGCCCACUAACACCUCAUGAAGUCGGGCUUAUGCUGCGGGCUCUUGGCUUCAAUAAUGACACAUAUCUUUAUGUUGCAUCUGGUGAAAUAUAUGGUGGAGAGAAAACUUUGCAGCCUCUAAGAGAGCUUUUCCCAAAUUUUUAUACUAAAGAGAUGCUUGCUGGUGAAGAACUUCAACCCUUUCUCCCUUACUCUUCGCGUCUUGCUGCAAUUGACUAUAUUGUAUGUGAUGAAAGUGAUGUCUUUGCUACUAACAAUAACGGGAACAUGGCAAAGAUCCUUGCUGGUAGGAGGAGGUACAUGGGGC